UGACCUCAAAUCAGGUAGGACUACCCGCUGAACUUAAGCAUAUCAAUAAGCGGAGGAAAAGAAACUAACAAGGAUUCCCCUAGUAACUGCGAGUGAAGCGGGAAGAGCUCAAAUUUUGAAUCUGGCGGUCUUCGGCCGUCCGAGUUGUAAUCUAGAGAAGCGUUUUCCGCGCUGGACCGUGUAUAAGUCUCCUGGAAGGGAGCGUCGUAGAGGGUGAGAAUCCCGUCUUUGACACGGACUACCAGUGCUAUGUGAUGCGCUCUCGACGAGUCGAGUUGUUUGGGAAUGCAGCUCAAAAUGGGUGGUAAAUUCCAUCUAAAGCUAAAUACAGGCGAGAGACCGAUAGCGAACAAGUACCGUGAGGGAAAGAUGAAAAGAACUUUGGAAAGAGAGUUAAACAGUACGUGAAAUUGCUGAAAGGGAAACGCUUGAUGUCAGUCGUGUCGGCCGGGGAUCAACCUUGCUUCUUCGCUGGGUGUACUUCCCGGUGGACAGGUCAGCAUCAGUUUCGGUCACUGUAC
rnacentral:rRNA from 1 species